CAUGUAUAGACAUUAAUGGACCUCAACAGAUUAAUUGAUUUCAUUGUUUUCAUACAAGACUAUUUAAUUUUAGUAGUAAGAAUCAGCAUUUGAAUUUUAUAUGAUACAGCAUAAUAUAAUAUAAUUUUUUUCCCCUUAGGCAAGUUCCUUGUCUGAUCUGCUAGACCGGCAAGAAGCAGCUCUUAGACAAAUGCAAGGUACUGGAAAUCAAGGACCAGCUGGACCAGCCGGUGGAUCAGGAAUGUCUGGACCUGGAGCUAUGCUGCAAGGCCCAGGAGGAAUGGGAAUGCCACAGCAGCGACAGUCACGAUUUGAUCAGCCUCCACCUUAUAUGGGUGGUCCACCAGGUCCUGUGCCUGGAAAUCAUGGUAACAUGGGGCCUCCUGGGGCACCACCCACUGGAAACAUGAAUAACAUGCGGGGUAAUGGUCCUAUAUCAGGACGUGGUAAUCCUCG
rnacentral:lncRNA from 1 species